rnacentral:rRNA from 1 species
GACGAACGCUGGCGGCGUGCCUAAUACAUGCAAGUCGAACGCAGGGGGGACGGGUGAGUAACACGUGGGUAACCUCCCAUCAGAGGGGAUAACACUUGGAAACAGGCGCUUACCCGAUAUGGAUGGAUGGACCUGCGGUGCAUUAGCUAGUUGGUGGGGUAACGGCUCACCAAGGCCACGAUGCAUAGCCGCCCUGAGAGGGGGUUCGGCCACACUGGGACUGAGACACGGCCCAGACUCCUACGGGAGGCAGCAGUGGGGAAUCUUCGGCAAUGGGCGAAAGUCUGACCGAGCAACGCCGCGUGAGUGAAGAAGGUUUUCGGAUCGUAAACCUCUGUUGUUAGAGAGGCGGUAUCUAACCAGAAAGCCACGGCUAACUACGUGCCAGCAGCCGCGGUAAUUC